rfam:Myotis lucifugus cont2.65508, whole genome shotgun sequence.
GAAAUACCCCUAUAAAGCAGGACUUGCUUCAGUGGGGCUUUGGCACUCACUGAGUCUGCCUCUUGAAUGUGUUACU